GAUGAAGAACGCAGCGAAAUGCGAUAAGUAAUGUGAAUUGCAGAAUUCAGUGAAUCAUCGAAUCUUUGAACGCACAUUGCGCCCGCCAGUAUUCUGGCGGGCAUGCCUGUUCGAGCGUCAUUACAACCCUCAGGCCCCCGGGCCUGGCGUUGGGGAUCGCGGAGCCCCCCGUGGGCACACGCCGUCCCCCAAAUGCAGUGGCGGUCCCGCCGCAGCUUCCAUCGCGUAGUAGCUAACACCUCGCGACUGGAGAGCGGCGCGGCCACGCCGUAAAACACCCAACUCUUCUGAAGUUGACCUCGAAUCAGGUAGGAAUACCCGCUGAACUUAAGCAUAUCAAUAAGCGGAGGA
rnacentral:misc_RNA from 1 species